GCAUUGAUUGUGUGAAAAUUGAAAAUGAAGCUUAUUUUACGAAAUUAGCAUCAGUACCAUAACAGACCAAAUUCCAUGAAGUAUAGUCCUUGAACAAGCAUUCCCUGUAGAAGUGCACAAAUUUGGAUACCACCAAGUUGCACCACGGUCACUGUUACAAGCAACUGUUAUAUACAUUGCAUACAAGAUCUACAUGCCAUCUUUAAGCAACCCAACACUUUUCUGUCUGAGAGUACAUUCAACUAUCAACAGACACACUAAUAGCAUUUAGCUGAAUGUGUUGCUUCCCCUCAUUCUGAGAAUGAACAAUCAAAGUGGCAUAUGUUUCUUCCUGCAAAGAUUUACCACCUCCUGCAUGAGAAACUGAUAUUGAACUUACUACAGGCUUUUUGUCGGCCAUAAUAUAGUGGUCGUCUUGAUCCCCUGAGAUGAUUUCCCAUUCCUCUUUGAGUGAUGUAAAUUGUAAGGCAUUCUCUUUGUGCGUCCCAACUUCAAAAGCAGUGGGUAGAAUCACAUAAUCAUUUACCGGGUUGUAGUAAGGAUCUGGAUCGCCUGCCUUUAGCCAGUGUUUGAGAAUCCUAAACACAUGAUGGUCACUGAGAAUUCCUCGGUGCUCACCAGGGACACCAACCCUUGCUUCUGCAUUGAGCCCAUCAGCCUUAGCUGAUUCAGCAGGAACUGUCCCAUCACCAUCAACACAUACAUAUUUAGGCUGAAAAUAUAGAAAAAUAAUAAGUCAGGAUUUGUGACAAAGUUUAUACUCAUCACUAAAGAUUCAUACCGAUGAAUUAUCAAAACAAAACAUGAAUUGGUCAAAAUAAGAAAUGAAAGAUAAGCGUAGAUAAAAACUAGUAUUCCAUAACAUUUGUAAAAUAUGGCCCCAGGAAAAUUCCAACAGUAUUACAUGAGCAGAGUAUAUUUGUAUAGGCAACGACCUGGAAAAUUUUCAGUUCUUGGACAUCUGUAACAGGCUCUUCCUCACUUCCAUAGCAAACACUGUGAGGAGUCUCGAGGUUAAUCCCAUAUAUAUUGUAGAAUUUCACUUGGGAAGGAACUUUAGCAGAAGAUAAGAUCUCCUUUGUUUCAUUAGCCCAUUUCAAGAUCUCUAAGUUGAAAGGUAGAGGAAUAUCCACUCCAUCAUAAUUGACCUUGUUACUUGAAAGAGCAUCUUUGAAAACUUUUAUGCUUCCUUCAGGGGGAUAUGACUCUAGGAUUAACUGAGGAUUAUCAUCAAUGUCUUUCUUCUCUCUCCAGAUUUCCAAAAGAGGAAUAUGUUGCCAAUUAAAAUGUGGACAAGCCAUCAACUCAUAUAUUGAUGGACAUUCAAUGAGCAGCUGGUGCAUGCUCCACUUUGAUAUAAAAAAGUUCUGUUCCCACCCUUCAACAAAUGACAUCCCAUUUAGAAAAGUAGAGGUGAUGUAACCAGGUGCACCCCGGAAAGGUGCAGCAAUGGCAAUCCAAUUCUUCACAUAUUUCUCGAAAAUAUCACUGUGCAAGGACAUGAAACAUUUAACCAGAAGACCACCCAUAGAAUGGCUUAUGAUGUUUAUCUUCUUCCCACCAGAAGCAAUAUACACUGACUCUAAUUUUGUAGCAAAGCACUCCAUUGUCUCUGGCAACCUAAAAGACAAAUAAAGAAUGAAUACAAACAUGAAUUACAUGCUUUCUUCCAGCAAACUAUUACCGUAUACAAAGUUCAACAUUUGACACUAGAUAUCAAGCUCCAAAAAUUAGAUUAGUCACCACUAUACAGCAUACUAACUGCAUAAAAUGUCACAUAUUUGCAUUCUUGCAUUUGGUGUUUUGUUUCACAUUCUUGAGCUAUUUUAGUGUUUAUUAUGUUUAAUGUAAGUUUUGCAAGUGUUCAAAGUGACUGAAAGUGAUUUGAAGUCAUUUGGAGCUAAAAUGAGCAAAAUUGAAGAAUUGUAAUUUUUGGUGGGGCCCUCUAAUGACGUGGCAUAUGACAUAGCAGCCACAAGGGUGGCAUAUGACAUUGGCAUGUAGGGUGACUUGGCAAAGCAUAUGUGGGCGUCUUAUGGGAGUGUUUGGUUGCUUGAAUUAGUUGUUCUCCUUGGAGGACUAAGAUUUGACUAUUCCAAGAUUAUGGAACAUAUGCAAUUAAUGUGAGAUUCUCUUCUUCCUAAUGAGGAUGAGAUAUUCAUAUUCAAGUUUUGUAAACACUAAAGAGAAAGAAUUACAAUCAAAUCCUACCUAGGAAAGGAGAAAAGUGGUACACAUUUUAGGCACCACCAACAUGGACGAAUUUGCUUAUUUGAAUACCAUUGUUGCACCUUAAACACUAUAAAUACAUGCAUACAAGAGGCUGGACAUUUGCUUCUUCGCUUUCUCUUUGGUGUACAUCCAUCUCAUCUCAUCUCAUCUCAUCUCUUUAGCUUGGAAUUGUGCUUUUUCAAGACCUUGCUUUGGUGCAUCACUUUUCCAUAAUCUUCCAUCAUCAUUGGCGAGUUUUUGGUGUGUUUAAAAUGUCUUGUUUGUCAAAAAGUGCUGCUAGUUUGGCGUGAAAGUGUUCUUCCCCUUAGUUGUGCAACUUUGCUUCAUUCCUUCUUUGUGGCGUGCUUGCUCCCUUCAAGCUUCUUGGUGGCGCAUCAUGUUCUUUUUUGUUCGUAUUAUUUUUGUUGUGUUUUCUUUUGUAACUAUAAGCAGUUUUGCAAAAGGCCAAAAAAGGCGUCAGAUGAGGUGAGGCGUGCCCUUGGUGCCUUUGCCUGGCUUAAGCAAGUCAAGGUGAAAGAGGCGAGUGCCAAAGAGUGUUGUGGCGAGAGGUGUGAGGCGACCAAGGCGACGCUUGAGCAAAUAACAUCAAAUUUCCCUUUUUUUCUAUUUUUUUUUUAAAUGGCAAAAAAUAAAAAUAAAAAUAAACUGAAAACUAACGCUUCAACUUACGCCACUAGCAAACUUGGAGCAUACCAGGUAUUUCUUCCUUCCUCUCUCUCCUCUGCUCUUCUUCAAAAUUUCUUCUCUCCUCUCACCAGUGCAUCCACUUCUUCUCCCCUCUCACCUGUGCAUUCAGUCACGCCAUUUUUUCUCCUCUCUUACUUAUUUUCCUACA
rnacentral:misc_RNA from 1 species